UGCGCAGGCGGGCUUGUAAGUCAGUGGUGAAAUCUCUCGGCUCAACCGGGAAACUGCCAUUGAUACUGUUAGUCUUGAGUUCGGUUGAGGUAGGCGGAAUGUGUAAUGUAGCGGUGAAAUGCUUAGAUAUUACACAGAACACCAAUUGCGUAGGCAGCUUACUAGACCGACACUGACGCUGAGGCACGAAAGCGUGGGGAGCGAACAGGAUUAGAUACCCUGGUAGUCC
rnacentral:rRNA from 1 species